GAAAACCGGAAGUAACAGAAAAUAUAAGUCAGAUUGAGCGCAUCAUCAGUACAGAAAUCUACAUGGAAAGAACCGGUAGUAACAAAAAAUAUAAGGCAGAUUGAACGAAUCAUUAACACAAUGGCAACGAAGCUAACACAAACUCACAGAGAUCAACAUUCCAAAUGGAUUGACCUGUCAACAAGACACAAGUUUACCUUACUGUACAAGAUCAGCCGUGAUGGAUGUAAUCCUGAAAUCUUCCAUCGUUACUGUGACAACAGGGGGCCGACAGUCACCAUCCUGUACAAUACCGACAAGUCGGUAUACGGGGGGUACACAGCUUUCGACUGGAAAUCAGAUACUGAAUAUGAGGCCGAUGCUCAAGCAUUCUUGUUUACACUAGAGCACAAUGGUACAGCCCAGGCAAUGAAGUUUCCCCACAAAACAGACGGAACAAAUGCGAUAUAUGGAAAGAGCAGUUAUGGGCCAACAUUUGGAGAUGGGCAUGACUUGUGUUGUUUCACUGCAACUAUAAAUAAAUCCGGAAAUAUUUUCCCAUUGGAUGGUAAGGUCGAAUCAAGCAAGAGUUAUGACAUGAAAGGACAAGACUUUAAGUCAUUUCAAUGUCCUGGAGUUGAAGGUUUACAGUGUUCAAGGUAGGUAUAUGAAACUCAGGGGGAUAUUUUCAAAUUAUAAUAUUACAAUUACUAAAAUUGAUAAUAAAUUCAAAAGAAUGUUGUCUAUGUUAUAACUUUAUUAAUUUAAUUGGCGUGGCAUUCAAAUACUUACAUGAGUACCCAACGGGCGAAACAAUACACGUAAACCACAUGCCAUAAAGUACCCAUUUCAAAUGCAGUGUUUAUUUCCUCACUUAAAAAUCACUAUACUUACGAAUUCUUUAUGAUUUCCCGGCAUUUUUAAAACAGUUAAUUAGUGCUACUCAAAGACAGGUUCAAGAAGUUAUUAAUAUGUUAAGAUUUACCACCGAUUCUUGUAAGAAAUAUAUUAGUUUUGGAUAUCGAA